rnacentral:rRNA from 1 species
CCCUUAGAUGUUCUGGGCCGCACGCGCGCUACACUGAUGAAUUCAACGAGUUUUCCACCUUGACCGAGAGGUCCGGGAAAUCUUUUCAACUUUCAUCGUGCUGGGGAUAGAUGAUUGCAAUUAUUCAUCUUCAACGAGGAAUUCCUAGUAAACGCAAGUCAUCAGCUUGCAUUGAUUACGUCCCUGCCCUUUGUACACACCGCCCGUCGCACCUACCGAUUGAAUGGUCCGGUGAAAUCUUCGGAUCUGAGAGAUGUCUGAUUAAUUUCGGACGCCUUUUGGAAAAGUUGCUUAAACCUUACCAUUUAGAGGAAGGUGAAGUCGUAACA